UGGGGAAUUUUUCGCAAUGGGCGAAAGCCUGACGGAGCAAUGCCGCGUGGAGGUGGAAGGCCUACGGGUCGUCAACUUCUUUUCUCGGAGAAGAAACAAUGACGGUAUCUGAGGAAUAAGCAUCGGCUAACUCUGCGCCAG
rnacentral:rRNA from 1 species